rnacentral:rRNA from 1 species
CCUACGGGAGGCUGCAGUGGGGGAUAUUGGACAAUGGGGGGAACCCUGAUCCAGCGACGCCGCGUGAGUGAAGAAGUAUCUCGGUAUGUAAAGCCCUGUCAGCAGGGAAGAAAGAAAUGACGGUACCUGACCAAGAAGCCCCGGCAAACUACGUGCCAGCAGCCGCGGUAAUACGUAGGGGACAAGCGUUAUCCGGAAUUACUGGGUGUAACGGGAGCGUAGACGGUUAAGUAAGUCUGGAGUGAAAGGCCGGGGCCCAAACCCGGGCCUGCUCUUGAAACUAUUGAACUUGAGUGCAAGAGAGGUAAGCGGAAUGCGUGGUGUAGCGGUGAAAUGCGUAGAUAUUACGAGGAACACCAGUGGCGAAGGCGGCUUACUGGACUGUAACUGACGUUGAGGCUCGAAAGCGUGGGGAGCAAACAGGAUUAGAUACCCGUGUAGUC